AGCAAAAGGGCAACAGACCGGCAAGAAAAGAUGGGUUUCUUUGACUCACGAGCGGGACAGGGGAAAAACCUCAAGCCGGCCCAAGAUAAUGAUGGGGAAGAACCAGAUCGAGCACAGAGGUCACAGAUGCCUGAAACCCCACUCACGAGAAAGGCCCUACAGGGUAUGAUGUACGAUAUGUCAAAUAAGCUACUCACCUCCUUGCAAUCUUCCCUGGGGGAGAUCAAACGCAAAAUGAAGGACCUGGGGUUGCGGACAUCUGCAGUGGAAGACCUAGCCACAAAUGUAGAUGACUUAAAUGCACGGAUGGACGCCUACAAAAUCAAGAUGGAGGACAGGGCCAAUCUGCGGAUUCCGGGCGUAUCAGAAAGCCCUCAUGCCACAGAAGGGUUUAUAAACCCAAAUGCAACAGAAAGAAUUUUAAUUAUUGCAUUA